AUUGAACGCUGGCGGCAGGCCUAACACAUGCAAGUCGAACGGUAGCACAGAGAGCUUGCUCUCGGGUGACGAGUGGCGGACGGGUGAGUAACGUCUGGGAAACUGCCCGAUGGAGGGGGAUAACUACUGGAAACGGUAGCUAAUACCGCAUAACGUCGCAAGACCAAAGUGGGGGACCUUCGGGCCUCACACCAUCGGAUGUGCCCAGAUGGGAUUAGCUAGUAGGUUGGGUAAUGGCUCACCUAGGCGACGAUCCCUAGCUGGUCUGAGAGGAUGACCAGCCACACUGGAACUGAGACACGGUCCAGACUCCUACGGGAGGCAGCAGUGGAGAAUAUUGCACAAUGGGCGCAAGCCUGAUGCAGCCAUGCCGCGUGUAUGAAGAAGGCCUUCGGGUUGUAAAGUACUUUCAGCGGGGAGGAAGGCGGUGAAGUUAAUAACUUCACCGAUUGACGUUACCCGCAGAAGAAGCACCGGCUAACUCCGUGCCAGCCGCCGCAGUAA
rnacentral:rRNA from 1 species